UAGCGGAGAGUGAGUACAUCAGAAACACUGAGUGUUCAAAACAGGGUCAAAUGACUGAGUAGGAAUGAAAAGAAUGAGGAUUGGAAGAAGGAUAUCAGGUCUGGCCAGAAAGGGUCACGGUGACUUUCAACUCAGUAUUUUAAUAAGCUGUACUCAGGGAAAGAGAUACUUGACAAAGGUGAGCCAAAGCACAGUGGCAUAACUUCUUAUAGAGACCUUGACAUUGUGAUGUAAUGUUUCUGUCAUCGAUAACUACUGUAGUCACCGCAGCACCAAUGAUUCCGGCUUCUACUGGACAUCUUUAAUUAUUGAUGAAGGGGGUUCCCUGAGGUGAAACAGAUCGUCAUGGAUGUGUGGCCUCGGAAAACUUCACCGAAAGCUGGUUUCUCUACAUAUCUGAAGAGGAUCAGUCCACGCACUUGAUAUCCUGGCUCUAGAAAACAACACUUGACCAAACUAAGCCAACGAAAGGUAUUUCAGGGACUUCUGCUGGAAUUUUGGGAGAGACGCUCUAACUCAGCAGAAGUCAAGAUAGCAAGAUCUAAGUCUUAAAGUGCUAGGAGCUAUCCUCGUCGGGAAGGAAAGGAAUCAAACCAGCGCAAAGGAAAGCAGAGUCAA